GUGGGGAAUUUUGGACAAUGGGGGCAACCCUGAUCCAGCCAUGCCGCGUGCGGGAAGAAGGCCUUCGGGUUGUAAACCGCUUUUGUCAGGGAAGAAAUCCUUUGGGUUAAUACCUCGGAGGGAUGACGGUACCUGAAGAAUAAGCACCGGCUAACUACGUGCCAGCAGCCGCGGUAAUACGUAGGGUGCGAGCGUUAAUCGGAAUUACUGGGCGUAAAGCGUGCGCAGGCGGUUAUAUAAGACAGAUGUGAAAUCCCCGGGCUCAACCUGGGAACUGCAUUUGUGACUGUAUAGCUAGAGUACGGCAGAGGGGGAUGGAAUUCCGCGUGUAGCAGUGAAAUGCGUAGAUAUGCGGAGGAACACCGAUGGCGAAGGCAAUCCCCUGGGCCUGUACUGACGCUCAUGCACGAAAGCGUGGGGAGCAAACAGGAUUAGAUACCCCUGUAGUCC
rnacentral:rRNA from 1 species